rnacentral:rRNA from 1 species
CAAGGCUUGACAUCUACAGAAUCCUAAAGAGAUUUGGGAGUGCCUUUCGGGGAACUGUAAGACAGGUGGUGCAUGGUUGUCGUCAGCUCGUGUCGUGAGAUGUUGGGUUAAGUCCCGCAACGAGCGCAACCCCUAUAUUCAGUUACCAGCAUGUAAAGAUGGGAACUCUGGAUAGACUGCCGGUGACAAACCGGAGGAAGGUGGGGAUGACGUCAAAUCAUCAUGCCCCUUAUGUCUUGGGCUACACACGUGCUACAAUGGACGGUACAGACGGACGCGAAGCCGCGAGGUGAAGCAAAUCCGAGAAAGCCGUUCUCAGUUCGGAUUGUAGGCUGCAACUCGCCUACAUGAAGUCGGAAUCGCUAGUAAUCGCAGGUCAGCACACUGCGGUGAAUACGUUCC